rnacentral:lncRNA from 1 species
GGUAAAUUGGCACAGACACCAUCAAUUUUUAGACCUUUCUAGACCUUUAGACCUUUAUAACCAGAUCUUUGAUGUCAUAUCUAGGAUCACCCAGACCUUUUGACAGGGGAUCUGACUCUCAGCGACAUCAUGACUCGAGUAAAUGCCGGCAGGAAGGGCUCUCUAGCAGCCUUGUAUGAUUUGGCUGUUCUUAAAAAAAAGGUGAAGGAAAAGGAGGAGAA